UACGUAGGGGGCAAGCGUUAUCCGGAAUUACUGGGUGUAAAGGGAGCGUAGACGGUAAUGUAGGUCUGGAGUGAAAGGCGGGGGCCCAACCCCCGGACUGCUCUGGAAACUAUGUUACUAGAGUGCAGGAGAGGUAAGCGGAAUUCCUAGUGUAGCGGUGAAAUGCGUAGAUAUUAGGAGGAACACCAGUGGCGAAGGCGGCUUACUGGACUGUAACUGACGUUGAGGCUCGAAAGCGUGGGGAGCAAACAGG
rnacentral:rRNA from 1 species